CAUCACAAAUUCAACAUGUCCAAAACCCAAUUUCUUCCCAACUCCCUUAUUACUAUCAAGGAUACCUCUUCUUCCUGAUCAUCUGGACUUACAACCUCAGUGCCAUCCUUAACUCCUCACUUUAUCAACAACUUAUAUCUAAUUUGUUGCCAAAUCUUAUUUCUACUUUCACAAUACCUCUUGAAAACAAUCUCAUGCAGACAUGAAUCUAGUAUUAGCCAUCAGCCAUUUUCACUUGGACUAUUGAAAUUGUCUUCUUCUUCCACAGAAGUCCUUUAUUAGUAAAUUUUCAUCUUCAGCAAACAAUUUGUAAAAGCAUUCAUCUGCUUCCAGUCUAGUUUACACAAUGAUUGGGUUCACUUAACAUGUAUAUACUAUGUAUGAAGUUGUUCAUGUCAAAAAUCACAAGCUCCCAAUAAAAAGAAACAAGAUAGCUCAUUUCUUUAGUAAAAAUAGCAUGUGAGUCAACAGGUUACUCUUCUGACUGGGUCAACUGAGAGAGGUCACAUUUAUGUAGCAUUGAAAGCUUCCAAAUCACAUCAUGAAUUACUUUAUUUGACUCACACAACUACCCUAUGGGAAAAGCACCACUGUGAUCUUUACUUUGUUUUGUUUGUUGCUAGAUGAUUUUCAGUCAUGUCCAAUUCUUACUCCAUUUGAGGUUUUCUUGGCAGAGAUACUAGAGUGGUGAACCGUUUCCUUCACCAGUUUAUUUUACAGAUGUGGAAACUAAGGCAACAGGGUUAGUGACUUGCCCAGGGUCACAAUCUCUGGAGCAAAUUUGAACUCAGUAAGAUGAGCUUUUCUGACUUUCCGGAUGCCCUUUACACUGUGAAAUGAGUUGUUUAGGGUUCAAAACUAGGGUUUGGGGCAGAAUUUGAACUCAAGUCUUAACUCCCAGCCGAGCACUUUAUUCACUAUAGACACUGCCACAUACAGGGCAACCUUCAAUAUACACUUAUUAAAUAAGCGUGGAUGCAGAGGUCAGCAGUUUAAAAUAUCACAACAUAUUUAUUUAUUGAACCAAAAAGGUUAGCAGCAGUCUACACAAUAAGUUCCUUUAUUGCCAACUGUCUUGGCAGCAGCUUCCAAAACAGGAGAGUCAUGGCAUUUUCUUUUUAUCAGGGAUGGGGAUAUGGUGAGGUGUUUGGACUGGGUACAAAACAAAUAUGAACAUCGUAGUGUUGGCAGCUCUUUAGGAGUCUUAGCUCUGUCCUUCUCCAGAGUCUUCUUGGAGCCAAACUACAUCUAUGGCCUGUCGAAAAAGGAGACAAUUUUGCUUUGACUUCUUUGCAAAAACUCUCUUGAUGUCAGACCUCUGAUGGGAAGACAGAAUGAAGUGGUUGCUGCUAGGUUUCUACAACUGCCUUCUGACAGGUGUCAUUGCCUCGGAUGGCACUCUAGGCCAUAUUCCAUCUAACCAUCAAAGUGAUUUUUUAAAAGACCACUUCUCCCUUACUACAUAAGCUCCAAUAUAUUCCUAUCACCUACAGAAUCACAGGUAAAAUCAUCUUUACCCCCUGACCCUUUGCUUCCUUUCCAAUCUUUCCAAGCUUCUUACACUUUCCAUUCCUCCAUGUGCCAUGAUCCAGCUACACAGACCUACUUUAUAGUCCUAGAACACAACAUUCUAUUUACUAUCCCUGGGCUUUUGCAAAGACUGUUUUUUUGCAAACUCAAGUGCUCUCCUUUUUUUUGUUUAUAACUUGCAUCUUAGUUUCCCUGGUUUCCUCUCAAAUUCAGCUCAAAUCCUACCUCCUAGAAGCCUUUCCCAAGACCCUACUGCUAGAACUUUCCCUCUCUGAAAUUACCUAUCCAAUACUCCAUAUGCAUCUUAUAGAUGCUUAAUUAUUUAUAAGCUAUUCCCUCCUACUUAAGUUUGUGAGCUUCUUGGGUGGUGGAUGGAGUACGGGGCCAAAAGGACGUUCAGAACCAACAUCAGCACCGUAUGCUCACUGAAUCACUGAAAUUUCUGUUUGUCUCAGUUUGCUCAACUACAAAAUGGAGAUAAUAUUAGUACUUUUCCUUUUAAGGAUGUUGUGAUGAGAUAAUAUUUGUAAAGCAUUUAGAACAGUGCCUGGCACACAGUAGGUACUAUAUAAAUGCUAGCUAUUGUUAUUAUUGGAUUUUUGGCUUUCUUUGUAUCCCUUGGUAGGUGCUAUAGAAAUGCUAGCUAUUGUUAUCAUUAUCAUUGUUUUGGUUGUUUUUUUUUAAUCCCCAGUGCCUAGAAUAGUGCCUAGCACAUAGUAGAUGCUUAAUAAAUAUUUAUUAGUAAUCAAUUGCUAAACCUCCUAAAUCUUUUUCACCUAGCCAUGGCUUUUCAUCAAGUACUUAUAAAGAUGAUUUUUGAAACCCUCAGAUAUAUAAUUGUAUAUUACCAUUCAAUUUCAUUUUAUUAGAUCUGACUUCCAUUAAAGCCAUACUCCAAUAUAUAGUGUGGUAUGGAGGUGAUUCUGGCUUCUUGAAAAUUGUGCUAGGGGAGUAAACAUAAGUCUUACUGAGAUUGGAGUGAUAGACUGAUAGGGGAAGGGAUAGGAGUAAGAGAGAAUUUGGAACUUAAAUCUAAAAAGUGAGUAUCAAAAAAAUAACUUUAGCUACUGGUUGGCUAUCAAGCAGUACAUUUUGGGUUUACAAUAUCUAAAAGACUAUCUACUAAUUUACACAAGAUCCGCAUCAUAGAGGGAAUAUCAAUAUCAUUGAAAUUACAAAUUCUUGCAGUAUAGAAGAAAAAGUAUCGUUUAGAUCUUUCUGGAUUCUGAUUCUCAUCCAAUGUAUUUGUUAUUUCUCUCUGCUUAAAGCAUUGGUAAGUUUGAUAAAAAAACGAUACCUAUGGCUUCAAGUCAUUGACUUAAAAAAAAAAAUGUUGAGCGUCAUAAGGUCAAGAUCUCUGGGCUUCUUCCUCUCUCUCCAUAAAGACUUUAAUUUUGGCUUUUUCCUCCCCGGCGCAUGGUACCUCCUGCUCUGGAGCGUUUAUCAAACAGAAUUGCCAUCAUCCAGAGAGAUCAUGUCCAACAGCAUCCCUUGAUUUACCAGUCUAGUUAUCUUGUCACAAAAGGAAACGAGGUUAUUCGGGCGCGACCGACCUGUGCUUGAGGGUCCGUUUGUUUUUUUCUCACAAACCAUCUCUUUAAUAACACAUUAGGAGACUGAGGGUCAGGAAGGGAAACACUUCGCUCAGCCAGUUAUGGACAGAGCUGGUGGGGCACUCGGCUUUCCUAACUGCCGAGUCCAGAGCUCUUUGUAGCAUCCCUGAAUUAUCUGGCUCACUCUUUUUUUUUAAGCACCGUCUCAGCAUGGUUUAUAAUGGAACUUGUGGAAAGAAAGGCUUGGGAAUCGGAAGAUACGGAAUUUCUUAGUUAGAAACGUGCAUAGAAGGAUUUAGCGUGGAAAGGGACCUCAGGGAUCAUCUGUAGCCAGGGCGCUAUGGCAUCAUAUUACAGCAUCCCCAGCAUCAUAUUACAGCAUCCCCAGCAUCAUAUUACAGCAUCCCCAGUAUCAUAUUACAGCAUCCCCAGCAUCAUAUUACAGCAUCCCCAGUAUCAUAUUACAGCAUCCCCAUUUCCCAGAGAGGAAAACUGAGGCUCUCGUAGAAGGAACUCGCCCAAGGUCAUAAUACGCAGGGCACCUGUGACUGUAAAUCCAUCUGCUUUUCCGCCGAACCACGCGGAUCGAAGAGACUGUUUUCCUCCCCGUGUUGCGCAUUUGACAAACUUGUUUCAUCACGGAUAGCUUGUACGGUUCCCGUUUCGGCGACAGAAGCUGCGACACUCAGCUGCCAGAGAUCC
ensembl:lncRNA